rnacentral:sRNA from 1 species
CACCGGUCGUACAAUAUAG